AACGAACGCUGGCGGCAUGCCUAACACAUGCAAGUCGAACGAGACCUUCGGGUCUAGUGGCGCACGGGUGCGUAACGCGUGGGAACCUGCCCUUAGGUUCGGAAUAACUCCCCGAAAGGGGUGCUAAUACCGGAUAAUGUCUUCGGACCAAAGAUUUAUCGCCUUUGGAUGGGCCCGCGUUGGAUUAGCUAGUUGGUAGGGUAAAAGCCUACAAAGGCGACGAUCCAUAGCUGGUCUGAGAGGAUGAUCAGCCACACUGGGACUGAGACACGGCCCAGACUUCUACGGGAGGCAGCAGUGGGGAAUAUUGGACAAUGGGCGAAAGCCUGAUCCAGCAAUGCCGCGUGAGUGAUGAAGGCCUUAGGGUUGUAAAGCUCUUUUACCCGGGAGGAUAAUGACAGUACCGGGAGAAUAAGCACCGGCUAACUCCGUG
rnacentral:rRNA from 1 species